CCUACGGGAGGCUGCAGUGAGGAAUAUUGGUCAAUGGACGAGAGUCUGAACCAGCCAAGUCGCGUGAAGGAUGACUGCCCUAUGGGUUGUAAACCUCUUUUGUAAAGGAAUAAAACGCGGCACGUGUCCCUUUUUGCGUGUAUUUUAUGAAAAAGCAUCGGCUAACUCCGUGCCAGCAGCCGCGGUAAUACGGAGGAUCCGAGCGUUAUCCGGAUUUAUUGGGUUUAAAGGGUGCGUAGAUGGGUCGUUAAGUCAGUUGUGAAAGUUGGGGGCUCAACCGUAAAAGUGCAAUUGAUACUGGCAGUCUUGAGUAGAGUAGAGGUAGGCGGAAUGCGUGGUGUAGCGGUGAAAUGCUUAGAUAUCACGAAGAACCCCGAUUGCGAAGGCAGCUUACUAACCUGUGACUGACAUUGAUGCUCGAAAGUGUGGGGAUCGAACAGGAUUAGAUACCCCUGUAGUC
rnacentral:rRNA from 1 species